GGUGCUCCUGCCACUUUAAGGGCCUGGAGCUGGCAGCCUCCAGGUGCCUGAUUGCGGCAGCCAUUUUGAGGCUUAUAUAAACCAGGCAGUUUGGCUGUAGGACACUAGGCAGUAAUAUUGCCUGGCUGUAGGGUUGCUGUGAUUGACCUGGAGUUGGUGGAAGAAGAUGAGAUGGAAACUUGAGUGUUAGAAUGGACUCUACCUUUGAAAAAGGAAGAUCUUUGCUUGAAUUCUGAUGAACCGACUGCACCAAAGAAAUACUUCCUAAGUCUCAAUUGGGUUUUAGACCAUCAAGAGGCACCAGCAACAUAGUUUUUGUGGCCUGGCAGAUCCAGGAAAAAUGCUGAGAAUAACACCAGGAACUGUAUAUGUCCUUUAUCAAUUUGACCAAAGCCUUCAACUGUUAACUCUCCAUGAGGCUCUGUGGAAGAUCUUAUUGGAGUUUGACUGUCCAGAGAAAUUUAUCACCAUACUAAAACUCCUUCAUGACCAGAUGACUGACUCCAUCCUAUGGAGUGGCUCCAUUAUGGAGCCCUUUGUCACUCAAACUGGCAUCUAUUUGGGCUGUGUGAUCACACCAGUUUUGUUUUCCAUUUUUC